rnacentral:rRNA from 1 species
AACGAACGCUGGCGGCAUGCCUAACACAUGCAAGUCGAACGAGACCUUCGGGACUAGUGGCGCACGGGUGCGUAACGCGUGGGAACCUGCCCUUAGGUUCGGAAUAACUCCCCGAAAGGGGUGCUAAUACCGGAUAAUUUCUUCGGACCAAAGAUUUAUCGCCUUUGGAUGGGCCCGCGUUGGAUUAGCUAGUUGGUAGGGUAAAAGCCUACCAAGGCGACGAUCCAUAGCUGGUCUGAGAGGAUGAUCAGCCACACUGGGACUGAGACACGGCCCAGACUCCUACGGGAGGCAGCAGUGGGGAAUAUUGGACAAUGGGCGAAAGCCUGAUCCAGCAAUGCCGCGUGAGUGAUGAAGGCCUUAGGGUUUUAAAGCUCUUUUACCCGGGAUGAUAAUGACAGUACCGGGAGAAUAAGCUCCGGCUAACUCCGUG